AGGAAAUGCCACGUCAUCCUUAACCAAUGAAGGACAGGUGGCUCUGUCUUCUAAUAUCCAUUACACAGAUGAAGAGCAUAAUACCAAAUUCGGCCUUUACAGCAUGUGGGACUGAGAACCAAGAAGAGUGAGGAAAUGAAGAAUGGAA
rnacentral:lncRNA from 1 species